AGGAGACAGGGUUCAAGUGAUUUUCAAGAAAGGAGUUAUUCCAGAUACCAAAUAACUACUGUUUACAUGAUGCUCUGUUAGCUUAUUUAAUUCUCAUGUUGACGUUUUGAAGUGAGUACUGUUCACGUGAUAUGGAUGAAGAAACUUUACGAAGGCUACCGCUCUGGCACAGAAGACUUCACUGAUUUGUCCAGGGUCGCAGAGCUGGGAAGCGAUGGAGCUGAGGUUUGAACCUAGGCAGGUUCAAAUCAGUCUGCUCUUCUAUGUGCCACCAAGAGGUCAGAUAAAUGAGUACCCAAAAAGGUACUUUGAAUUUAACAAAUAGGAACUUAAUCAUACAGGCAGAGGUAAUUCCAGAGACGUGGGGAUAGACGUCGGAUCACAGUGGGUUAAGAUCGUGUGAAUUACCAGGAAGUGAAAAUGUAGAGCUACUCUUACAAGUAGUUUUUCUAGUUGUUGUAACACGGUUUCCUUAUGUGCUUUAAUAAAUUUCAUGGAUGUUAAAAUGUAGCAAAAUUUAGCAAAUUAUAUAUACAUCUGUUCAUUUAAAUGUCUAACAGUGGUUCUUAAGCUUUUUGGAAAACCUUUAAAAAUCUGAUAAAGGGUCUGUGUCUUUACCCAGAAAAACAUUCAAGCGUACACACGUAUCAAGUGUCACACUCUCUGCCAGGGAAUCCAAGAACUCCACGUAGCCUGCUCAUGACCUCGUGGCCCAUGGUCCCCCACUUAAGAUCCCCAGAUAUGUAGGAGGUAGAACUCAAAGGUGAACACGAUAAUGUAAAAUGGACAUUGCUGAAGAAGGAUGGAGAUGUACGAGAAGCUGCAACAGAGACAAAUCACUGGCAUCACGUGCCGCAGUGGUUUGUGGAAGUAAAGGGAGAAAGCACUAAACGGGGGAGUCAGGAGACUUGGCUUCUCGACCCAGCUUGCCCCUCUGCAGCUGCGAGACCUGAGCUCCGUUCCUGCCUGCGAAAUGGGAACAGUCAUAGCGUCGCCUUCAUCAUGUCGUCACGAAGGUUUCACGAGAUGACGCGUGGGAUGCACUUGGCACGAUGAGAAGCUCGGCAAAUGUUAGGUUAGGAAUCGUUAGCAGUCCCAGAAGACAUUCCUCGUUCCCUUUUUACAGAUGAGAAAAUUCAGGUUCACAGCGGUUGAAGGCUGCAGAGGUCCUCAGCAAAUAAUACAGCUCUGUUUAAGGAGUAAAGAGGGCAAAGUGCCAUGAGAAGUUUGAAGAGUACAAGACAGGUGGUUCCAAAGAAAAGACUUCCUGGAAGCUAAUAAAGCCCAUAGCAUGCGGAAGCACAUCGCCAUGGACGAGGUCGCGGGCACCUCGUCCCGCCGGCCUCGGAGCACUGGUGUCCGAGGGACCGUGUGGUCUGAGCACCCAAACAUCUUCAAACGGAGCACUGCUUCCCCCUCGCAGCAGAAAGCAGUGCAGCGCAACGCCAUGAGCAAAGGUCUUGGAGAAAGACAUUCCAACGCCGUCACUGCCCCUGGCCGACUGACCCUGGACAAGGCCCCUCACCGCCUUCUCCCGCCCUCCUCCCAGGAAUUAGCUCUCUAUAUCCAAAUGGAGUUGGACUAGGUGACUUUGGAGGUGUCUUCACGCUCUGCAGCAGUUUGAAGAUAAAGUUGGUAGUUUUCUGCAUGAGGUGAAGUCACACUUUGAGGCCCACUGGACCAAAAAUAUCAGCAUAUUACCAGGCGUUCCGUGGUGCGUGACAGCCCCUCCUCAGACACUGUGUCUUCGUGUGUGGCUUUCCAACCUGCCAGGAACUUACUGGCACACAGCCACUCCGGGGCUCAGUUAUGUCCAUUGUACAUGUAGAGUGAGACGGAGAGUUAUAAAAGGUUAUAUACGUGUUACAUAUAUCUGCAAAUAAAUCGGAAUAUAUGUGUAUAUACACAGAAGAACUGAGAGAUGCCCACCAUACUUUUAACGUUGAUUUUUCCUAGAGAGUAGAAGAAUGGAGAUGAGGGUAGGGUUUUGCCAUAUUUUGAAUUCUUCUA